rnacentral:rRNA from 1 species
AUUGAACGCUGGCGGCAGGCCUAACACAUGCAAGUCGAGCGGAUGAAGGGAGCUUGCUCCUGGAUUCAGCGGCGGACGGGUGAGUAAUGCCUAGGAAUCUGCCUGGUAGUGGGGGAUAACGUCCGGAAACGGGCGCUAAUACCGCAUACGUCCUGAGGGAGAAAGUGGGGGAUCUUCGGACCUCACGCUAUCAGAUGAGCCUAGGCCGGAUUAGCUAGUUGGUGGGGUAAAGGCCUACCAAGGCGACGAUCCGUAACUGGUCUGAGAGGAUGAUCAGUCACACUGGAACUGAGACACGGUCCAGACUCCUACGGGAGGCAGCAGUGGGGAAUAUUGGACAAUGGGCGAAAGCCUGACCCAGCCAUGCCGCGUGUGUGAAGAAGGUCUUCGGAUUGUAAAGCACUUUAAGUUGGGAGGAAGGGCAGUAAGUUAAUACCUUGCUGUUUUGACGUUACCAACAGAAUAAGCACCGGCUAACUUCGUG